GACAUUUCGAGAAAUAUUUUCAAUUGCCAAGUCACCGGCUCACCGGAAAUGCAGUACCUACAUUGCAUUUAACAGCAGAAGGUCUUCAAGCACAAGCUUUGGGAUCUGUUGUGGCAACAUCUACAAGCACACCUCAUUCUUCUUUAAUGGAACCUCAACAAGUUGUUCUAAACAAUCCAGCUGAAGAACAAGUGACACUAACUACUGCUACAACUCUUCCUGCAACCAACUUUGAUUUUCUUUUAAAUGUUUCUAAUAAAGUGCCUAAAUAUAGAGGUGUGCAUGGGGCUUCACUGGUCGCUUCACAUAA
rnacentral:lncRNA from 1 species